UGAGGCAGGAGAAUCGCUUGAACCCAGGAGGUGGAGGUUGCAGUGAGCUGAGAUUGCACCACUGCACUCCAGCCUGGGUGACAGAGUGAGACUCCGUCUCAAAACAAACAAA
rnacentral:miRNA from 1 species